rnacentral:lncRNA from 1 species
AGCUGAGGAGGCAAACUGCUCCAAAAGUAAAUGCCGCCUGGGGACUUGGCUGGGAGUUAGACAGACGUGUUGCAGAGCCAAAGUGUAAAUCUAAAAUUUUGAAAUAAAUUUCAGAAUUUUCCUCAGAAAAGCUUGGCUACCAGGAGGUCUGACUGUAAUGCCAAUGCCAGAAGAGGCAGAAAAAACUGGACUGAACUUCAACAAGAAAGAUGCUCCCUGAUUGCCAAUGAUUGACAAGCCUGGCUUCAGUCCCACACCUUCAACACAACAGAACAGCUAUGAGAAAAAGGCACCUACUACUAAAAAAUACAGAAGUUCAGUGGGUGAUGUAAAAAUCCCCAUGCAAGACAUGAUAAACACUAACGCAAUUAGCUGGACCACCUGCCCCAUUCCACCUACUUGCCUGAUGCAACAGGAGACACCACCACAUCAACAACAACUACAAAUCUGAAUCAAGACCCAGACUAAUAAGAUGCCCUUCCACAAACUUCCAAUUAUGCUUAUUUUUGGCUACUGAAUAAGACAAACUUCCUUCUAGCACCCUAUUAGUUUCUCUCAGAAACUAUUUAAAACUAGAAUAUAGAAAAGCUUCCCUUAAAAAAAAAAUACACACCAAAACAAAUUACAGAAAAUCAUGUGCUCUUCAACCAGACUGACAUAGGGGAAAUACAGACAUUCCUUUGCAAAAAAGGACUUCUAUUUUGUGGCAAAACUGAAUAUAUAACUUAUGUUUUCUACUAUGUAAACCUUAAUCACUAUACAUAAUGCCUAAGCAUAUUUGAGGUUUUAUGUUAUCCGGGGAACAGAAAAAAAUAACCAACAAAAACCAGACAUUCCUUGCUUCAAGAUGGAAGUACCUAUUACUGCUUUAAGAGGAAACCAUUAAAGAUGUUUGAAAACUUUUGUCUUGAAACUGUUCCCAUUAAAAAAAAAAAAAAUUAGCACAGCUACACCAACUUGUUUGCAAAAAAAGGGGAAUAGAACAGAAAAAUACAAGCAUGUAAGACAAGUAUAGGGUCUUCUAUUUACCACUUAUGGUAAAAAUAUGGUUACUACUGCAGUUCAUAUUCCUACCCAGUUAUUGUUAGUAUCAGUGAAAAGACUUCCAAUGCUUUAGGGUUUAUAAAUCUGAAUCAGGAUUCAGAUUUUAAUUCAGAUUUUUUUAAUAUUUUAAAGUACAGAUCUUUAAGAAUUUGCAUACUUUCACUGAUUUUAGUGCAAAUCUAUGACAAGCAUUACAAUUCCACAUAAGAAUUCUGAUAACCAGGAGACAUAGUGAAUUAUUUCUUUAACAAAAGAAUGUAAAUAAUACUCAAAUUAGGCUGAGCACUGUCAAAUUCAAUGGCUAUUCUGUUGUGGGCUACCUAAUGUAAGACUACGUACUGUAUUUUCAAUACUUUCUAGAGAAUCUAUAUGUUUAAUGCUAUCUAGAUUUAUGCAAGAAGUACUUA